rnacentral:rRNA from 1 species
GAUGAACGCUAGCUACAGGCUUAACACAUGCAAGUCGCGGGGCAGCAUGACAUCAGCUUGCUGAUGUUGAUGGCGACCGGCGCACGGGUGAGUAACGCGUAUCCAACCUGCCCUUUACUAUGGGACAGCCCGGCGAAAGGCGGAUUAAUACCGUAUGUUGUCAUGUUGAUGCAUAUUUUCAUGACCAAAGGCUUCGGCCGGUAAAGGAUGGGGAUGCGUCUGAUUAGCUUGCCGGCGGGGUAACGGCCCACCGGGGCGACGAUCAGUAGGGGUUCUGAGAGGAAGGUCCCCCACAUUGGAACUGAGACACGGUCCAA